rnacentral:rRNA from 1 species
UGUGUUGUUGGGUAGGGGAGCGUUCUGUAAGCCUGUGAAGGUGUACUGUGAGGUAUGCUGGAGGUAUCAGAAGUGCGAAUGCUGACAUAAGUAACGAUAAAGCGGGUGAAAAGCCCGCUCGCCGGAAGACCAAGGGUUCCUGUCCAACGUUAAUCGGGGCAGGGUGAGUCGACCCCUAAGGCGAGGCCGAAAGGCGUAGUCGAUGGGAAACAGGUUAAUAUUCCUGUACUUGGUGUUACUGCGAAGGGGGGACGGAGAAGGCUAUGUUGGCCGGGCGACGGUUGUCCCGGUUUAAGCGUGUAGGCUGGUUUUCCAGGCAAAUCCGGAAAAUCAAGGCUGAGGCGUGAUGACGAGGCACUACGGUGCUGAAGCAACAAAUGCCCUGCUUCCAGGAAAAGCCUCUAAGCAUCAGGUAACAUCAAAUCGUACCCCAAACCGACACAGGUGGUCAGGUAGAGAAUACCAAGGCGCUUGAGAGAACUCGGGUGAAGGAACUAGGCAAAAUGGUGCCGUAACUUCGGGAGAAGGCACGCUGAUAUGUAGGUGAAGUCCCUCGCGGAUGGAGCUGAAAUCAGUCGAAGAUACCAGCUGGCUGCAACUGUUUAUUAAAAACACAGCACUGUGCAAACACGAAAGUGGACGUAUACGGUGUGACGCCUGCCCGGUGC